GGCGAGUGAAGCGGCAACAGCUCAAAUUUGAAAUCUGGCCCCCUCUUAGGGGGUCCGAGUUGUAAUUUGUAGAGGGUGCUUUGGCGUUGGCCCCGGCCCAAGUUCCUUAGAACAGGACGUCACAGAGGGUGAGAACCCCGUACAUGGCCGUUGGUCUUCGCCUUGUAAAGCCCCUUCGACGAGUCGAGUUGUUUGGGAAUGCAGCUCUAAAUGGGAGGUAAAUUUCUUCUAAGGCUAAAUACCGGCUGGAGACCGAUAGCGCACAAGUAGAGUGAUCGAAAGAUGAAAAGCACUUUGGAAAGAGAGUGAAAAAGCACGUGAAAUUGUUGAAAGGGAAGCGCUUGCAGCCAGACUCGCCCGUGGUUGCUCAUCCGAGCUCCUGCUCGGUGCACUCUUCCGCGGGCGGGCCAGCAUCGGUUUGAGCGGUCGGACAAAGGUCCCGGGAAUGUGGCUCCCCUCGGGGAGUGUUAUAGCCCGGGGCGUCAUGCGGCCAGCUUGGACCGAGGCCCGCGCAUUUUGCUAGGAUGCUGGCGUAAUGGCUGUAAGCGGCCCGUCUUGAAACACGGACCAAGGAGUCUAACAUCUGUGCGAGUGUUUGGGUGUCAAGCCCCGACGCGCAAUAAAAGUGAACGGAGGUGGGACCCCUUCGGGGCGCACCAUCGACCGAUCCUGAUGUCUUCGGAUGGAUUUGAGUAAGAGCAUAGCUGUUGGGACCCGAAAGAUGGUGAACUAUGCCUGAAUAGGGUGAAGCCAGAGGAAACUCUGGUGGAGGCUCGCAGCGGUUCUGACGUGCAAAUCGAUCGUCAAAUUUGGGCAUAGGGGCGAAAGACUAAUCGAACUAUCUAG
rnacentral:rRNA from 1 species